rnacentral:ncRNA from 1 species
UAUUUUUUAUAAUUUAUUAUAAAUUUAUUUUACAUGUAAAUUUUAGUAUUAAAUUUUAAUUAUUUUAAAAAUAGUUAAUUUAAAAUAACAGUAAUUAAAAUUAAAAAUUUAAGAAAUUAAGAUUUAGUAAUAUUUAAAUUAAUAACUAAUUUUGUGCCAGCAGUUGCGGUUAAACAAAAGUUAAAUUAAAUUAUUUCAGUAUAUAAUAAAUAGUGAAAAUUUUAAAUUAAAUAUUAAAUUAUUAAGUGAAAUUUUAAUUUAAUUAAAAAUUAUUUUAAAAUUAUGAUUUAAUAAAUUUUAUUAUAAACUAGGAUUAGAUACCCUAUUAUUAAAAAUUUAAUUAUUAAUGCUAAAAUAGUAAAUAAAAUAUUAUUGAAACUUAAAUAAUAUGGCGGUAUUUUAGUUCAUUUAGAGGAAUCUGUUUAAUAAUUGAUAAUCCACGAAUAAAUUUACUUAAUUUAUAAUUUUGUAUAUCAUUGUUAAAAAAAUAUUUUUAAAUAAAAAUAAUAUUUUAAAAUUUAAAAUUAAAUUUAAUUCAGAUCAAGAUGCAGAUUAUAAUUAAGUUUAAAAUGGAUUACAUUAAAUUUAUUUAAACGAAAAAAAAAUUGUAAAAUAUGAUUGAAGGUGGAUUUAAAUGUAAUUUUAAUUAAUUUAUUAAAAUGAUUAAUAAUUAAAAUAUGUACAUAUUGCCCGUCACUUUCAUUUAAAAAUUGAAAUAAGUCGUAACAAAGUAGAAGUACUGGAAAGUGUUUCUAGAAUGAA